CUAUCAUUAAAGAAAGAGCAAUUUUCACACACACUUAUCGUGAUGCGUCGUGAAGAGAAACGGCGAAAGUUCCAUGAAGCCGUUCUUAACACUCUUUACCCUCCACCAUCACCACCCCAAGCAGUGGAUGAAGAGGAAAAACCCGGUCACCCAUUAGAAGAUUUCGACGUGGAACUUAUAAAUCUAGAUGAUUUUGUGAGGACUGGUUCCUCAAGUGAUGGCGGUG